rnacentral:rRNA from 1 species
GACGAACGCUGGCGGCGUGCUUAACACAUGCAAGUCGAACGGAAAGGCCCUGCUUUUGUGGGGUGCUCGAGUGGCGAACGGGUGAGUAACACGUGAGUAACCUGCCCUUGACUUUGGGAUAACUUCAGGAAACUGGGGCUAAUACCGGAUAGGAGCUCCUGCUGCAUGGUGGGGGUUGGAAAGUUUCGGCGGUUGGGGAUGGACUCGCGGCUUAUCAGCUUGUUUGUGGGGUAGUGGCUUACCAAGGCUUUGACGGGUAGCCGGCCUGAGCGGGUGACCGGCCACAUUGGGACUGAGAUACGGCCGAGACUCCUACGGGAGGCAGCAGUGGGGAAGAUUGCACAAUGGGCGGAAGCCUGAUGCAGCAACGCCGCGUGCGGGAUGACGGCCUUCGGGUUGUAAACCGCUUUCGCCUGUGACGAAGCGUGAGUGACGGUAAUGGGUAAAGAAGCACCGGCUAACUACGUG